UGGGGAAUUUUGGACAAUGGGCGAAAGCCUGAUCCAGCAAUGCCGCGUGUGUGAAGAAGGCCUUCGGGUUGUAAAGCACUUUUGUCCGGAAAGAAAUCCUUGGCUCUAAUACAGUCGGGGGAUGACGGUACCGGAAGAAUAAGCACCGGCUAACUACGUGCCAGCAGCCGCGGUAAUACGUAGGGUGCAAGCGUUAAUCGGAAUUACUGGGCGUAAAGCGUGCGCAGGCGGUUUGCUAAGACCGAUGUGAAAUCCCCGGGCUCAACCUGGGAACUGCAUUGGUGACUGGCAGGCUAGAGUAUGGCAGAGGGGGGUAGAAUUCCACGUGUAGCAGUGAAAUGCGUAGAGAUGUGGAGGAAUACCGAUGGCGAAGGCAGCCCCCUGGGCCAAUACUGACGCUCAUGCACGAAAGCGUGGGGAGCAAACAGGAUUAGAUACCCUGGUAGUCCACGCCCUAAACGAUGUCAACUAGUUGUUGGGGAUUCAUUUCCUUAGUAACGUAGCUAACGCUGAAGUUGACCGCCUGGGGAGUACGGUCGCAAGAUUAAAACUCAAAGGAAUUGACGGGGU
rnacentral:rRNA from 1 species